UUAUCAAUGAUGACUCUAAUAGUGGGUCACAUUUGAAAAUCUGAACAAAAUGAGAUCCACAAUCUUCUGUGAAACUGAGGUCC
rnacentral:snoRNA from 1 species